ensembl:lncRNA
AUACAGUAUGAUAGAUGUGAUAGAUAGGAUAGAUACAAUAGGAUAGAUACAGUAUGAUAGACAGGUUCGAUACAGUAUGAUAGAUAGGUUCGAUACAGUGUGAUAGAUAGGUUAGAUACAGUAUGAUAGAUACAGUAUGAUAGAUAGGUUCGAUACAGUGUGAUAGAUAGGAUAGAUACAGUAUGAUAGAUACAGUAUGAUAGAUAGGAUAGAUACAGUGUGAUAGAUAGGUUCGAUACAGUGUGAUAGAUAGGAUAGAUACAGUAUGAUAGAUACAGUAUGAUAGAUAGGAUAGAUACAGUAUGAUACAUACAGUAUGAUAGAUAGGAUAGAUACAGUAUGAUAGAUACAAUAGGUUAGAUACAGUAUGAUAGAUAGGUUAGAUACAGUAUGAUAGAUAGGUUCGAUACAGUAUGAUAGAUAGGUUAGAUACAGUAUGAUAGAUAGGUUAGAUACAGUAUGAUAGAUAGG